GAUGAACGCUGGCGGCGUGCCUAAUACAUGCAAGUCGAGCGAACGGACGAGAAGCUUGCUUCUCUGAUGUUAGCGGCGGACGGGUGAGUAACACGUGGAUAACCUACCUAUAAGACUGGGAUAACUUCGGGAAACCGUAGCUAAUACCGGAUAAUCUUUUGAACCGCAUGGUUCAAAAGUGAAAGACGGUCUUGCUGUCACUUAUAGAUGGAUCCGCGCUGCAUUAGCUAGUUGGUAAGGUAACGGCUUACCAAGGCAACGAUGCAUAGCCGACCUGAGAGGGUGAUCGGCCACACUGGAACUGAGACACGGUCCAGACUCCUACGGGAGGCAGCAGUAGGGAAUCUUCCGCAAAGGGCGAAAGCCUGACGGAGCAACGCCGCGUGAGUGAUGAAGGUCUUCGGAUCGUAAAACUCUGUUAUUAGGGAAGAACAUAUGUGUAAGUAACUGUGCACAUCUUGACGGUACCUAAUCAGAAAGCCACGGCUAACUACGUG
rnacentral:rRNA from 1 species